UGCUAGGACAAAAGUCGAGACAUAGGGGAUGGGGGUGGGGUGGGGGGAGACAAAGUCCAUCAUGAAGCAGUAUUUAAACAUGGUUACCAAGAAACAAAAGCUGAGAAAGGAGCUUGUACAAUACAUAAGCCUGAGAAAAAGGACUAUAUUUAUAAA